rnacentral:rRNA from 1 species
GGACUACCGGGGUAUCUAAUCCUGUUUGCUCCCCACGCUUUCGCAGUUGAGUGUCAGUUCCUGUCCAGGCCGCCGCUUUCGCCUCUGGUAUUCCUCCCGAUCUCUACGCAUUUCACCGCUACACCGGGAAUUCCGCGACCCUCUCCAGGACUCUAGUCUCGCCGUUUCUGAGGCAGUUCCUAGGUUAAGCCCAGGGAUUUCACCUCAGACAAACGAGACCACCUACUUGCCCUUUACGCCCAAUGAUUCCGAGCAACGCUUGCACCCUCUGUAUUACCGCGGCUGCUGGCAC